CAGCAGGCGCGCAAAUUACCCAAUCCUGACACAGGGAGGUAGUGACAAUAAAUAACGAUACAGGGCCCUUACGGGUCUUGUAAUUGGAAUGAGUACAAUGUAAACACCUUAACGAGGAACAAUUGGAGGGCAAGUCUGGUGCCAGCAGCCGCGGUAAUUCCAGCUCCAAUAGCGUAUAUUAAAGUUGUUGCAGUUAAAAAGCUCGUAGUUGAACUUUGGGCCUGGUCGGCCGGUCCGGAUUUUUCCGCGUACUGGUUUUCUUCCGACCGGGCCUCUCCUUCUGGCUAGCCCUGGGUCCCUGUGGCCCUUGGUGAACCAGGACUUUUACUUUGAAAAAAUUAGAGUGUUCAAAGCAGGCGUAUUGCUCGAAUAUAUUAGCAUGGAAUAAUAGAAUAGGACGUUUGGUUCUAUUUUGUUGGUUUCUAGGACCAUCGUAAUGAUUAAUAGGGACGGUCGGGGGCAUCAGUAUUCAGUUGUCAGAGGUGAAAUUCUUGGAUUUACUGAAGACUAACUACUGCGAAAGCAUUUGCCAAGGACGUUUUCAUUAAUCAAGAACGAAAGUUAGGGGAUCGAAGAUGAUCAGAUACCGUCGUAGUCUUAACCAUAAACUAUGCCGACUAGGGAUCGGGUGGUGUUUAUUUACUGACCCACUCGGCACCUUACGAG
rnacentral:rRNA from 1 species